GGCAUCCAAGAAGACUUGUCUUGUCUGGUUGUCUGUCAGCUUUGAUUGUAAGUAUGUUUGUCAAAAGUUACCUUCUUUGAUUGUUAGUAUGUUUGUCAAAAGUUACCUUUCUUUCCUCAUCGCAUGUGUCGUCACUACUUUCCCAGUCUAUGUUAGUGCCUCUAACUUACUCAAUAGUUUUGCUGUUUUUAAGGUGACCCUUCUUUCUGCUCUGGUUGGCUGGGCUGCACCAAAUUUGACUCUAUUUGAAAUAAGGGAUCAAGAGGAUUUUCAUGGAGUUAUAAAUAUCAAGCCAAGCACGAUCUCCAACACCAUCGGUCUUCUCCAAAAUGGAAACUUGUAAAGUGCCCCCGUCAAUUAGAUUUUGUAGGAUGCAGUUCAAUACAAAAAAAUGCAUAUACCUAAGGAGAGAUUGACGUAAUUCGAAUCCAAUGGACAAGUUUUGUUGGCCGAUUUGUGUAAGGAUGUAAUUCUUGUUUUUUUUCUCAGUAGAAUGUAAA